AUUGUGUUGUAUCUUAACCCUUGGGAGGGUGGUGCGUGCACACUCAUGGUUUCCAUGGGGAUUGGGGUAAGCCAUAUCCCUGGGUGAAGACUCCCAUAGACAAGCAACCUUGUGUCUCCCACCCUCCGUCCCUCCCCAGAAACACAUUUGUUUUUCUCCUCUAACUCACAGCUGUGUUUAUCCCUCCCCAGAAUGGGAAACAGUGAGGGGGAAGAGGGGGAGAAGGGGUCAGAAGAAGGGUUCAUGCUGGGUGUGGGGGCACUUGAGAUGUGGGGGUCAAGGGACUAUAGGCACAUGUCAUGUUUUGAGGUGGGAGAAGGUAUCCAGUUUGCAGUAAAGGAAAUGGAGCUGAGAGAGGGAAAGUGGCUUGCUGGAAGGACAGGAGGGACUCACUGGGGGGGGUUCCUGGCUGGCCCUGGAGUUGUCUUCUCACAAGGGAAAGGGGAGGUCUCUGGGGAAUGGCGCUGGCUUGGUUCACUCAAAGCAGUGACAUUAGCAAAAUGCCCAGCUCUCCUCUGAAAGAAAGCUCUGGUUUUGGGGAACAGGCAGAUUGGAAAUCUAUAUAUUCCAAAACGCAAUAGCCACCUCCUUGGUCCUGGUCUGGGUGGUGUGUUCUUCAUCUUUUAACAGGGUCACGGGGGCUCAAGAUCCAAGUGCUGUAAACCUGGUGAGAAAGCAAGGAAGAUUUUCUCAGCCUCUCCAUUUCAACCUUGCCGACUCCAGCCUUGGCCAGCACCUCUUUUUCCCACCAUGCUGUUCAGGCUGUGUGGGAAGAUGCCUUCCUGGCAGACUUGUACUCCGCCAGUUUCGGGACACUCAGUGGAACAGGCUCUUCUGAGUAGCAGUGGCCAUCAAGAGGUCUGUCAGAGCAACAAGGGCUUGGCCAUGUGGCAGGACGGAGGACUCUAGCAGUGAACAAGGCAUAGGAGAACAGAGGGAAGCAGAUGGGCUAGGAGAGAAAGAAUGGGGCAUCGUGCCCCUGUUGGGAAGUGAUCCUCCGUGUCCCGGGCUCACUGGUGCUACCUCUGAGGUGGAAGGACAGUCCUGUCCUGUCAUGUGCCCGAUGCUUCGUGUGCCCACAGUCACCUGGGCUGACAUGAGGGAUGUGAGAUGGCUUGCUAUAAGCAGGCAACUGCUGUGGUCCUUGCCUCCUGUGUCCUGUAGGAUAGCAGAACCGGAGAGGCGUGCAGGCUAAGACUACACACAUUUCCCCUGGGAUUUCUUUGCUGUGGCUCAGAAUAGAUCUUCAUCUUGAAACAACAUCACUUCAAGGUGUUUGGGAAACAGCAAAACAAAUCAGAAGAUGUUUUACCAGUGGCUUGCUGAAAUAGAAUAGUUACUGCAAAAAUACUUUUUUUUUUUCCCUCUCCCCCAAGUGGAGUAGACUGUCUGCCUAAGAAAUGUAGCCCGUCCUGGGUUAUGAGCUCCUUAAGGGAUCGUAUUACUGAAAAAAUUCAUGGAUUUGAUUAGGUAGAGACCAAGAAGUCAGAGCCAGCUGAAAGCAUCUCUCAAGGCUGGCAAAAUUGUGUUAUGCUGCCCUAGAGAUGGAAACGGCCCUGGGGCAUCCCUGGGAUAGACAAUGGGGGAGAUAGGAGGAGUGUAACAGCAACACUGCCCUCAUAGAGACUCAUGGUGUUGGCUCUGGUCCUGCCUGUAGGUUUGAAGAUGAAUCUAAAUGGGAAGGAGAAGAAGAGUGGAAAAGAGGCCUUCUUGCACCCAACAUGGUCUGCCCAUCCUGAGGGGCUGGGAGAGCCAGACUAAGAGGACAGGAGCAAGGUGCAUGCCAUCCAGGGCAGUUUGGGUACCAUUACCACUGUCACACGGAAGACUUAAAAGGAGCUUCUGUUGGGACAGAAGAGUUAAAACAACACUGAGUCUUGCAAGACUCCCCAGCUCAAACUUAUUGAUGAAGACCAGCAGCCAAGGAUAAGAGCAAGUGGAACACAGGGGAAGGAGCCAGUGGAGGAUCAGACCACAGAGUGUUGAUUCCUCCCAGGGCAACAGAGGAGGAGAUGGCCCCUCAGCCAAGGAGCACAGCAUGUAAAUGUCCUGGUACCUUUGCCUGGACAGCCAGCAGAGAGCACAGCACUGGGGAAAAAAUAAAAACUCCCCUUACCACCCCAGAGAGCUCAACAUCACCAGCCUGGACAAACACCGGCAGUAUCUUUUCCACGCUGAGGAGCUACACGCCGUAGUUGCAGGGACAAGGCUGGAGCAAGGAGGAGCCUGCUUGCUGCCUGGCCUCACAGGACUCCACACAGAGGCCGUGGUGGAGGUGCUGGGUCUGCCAGCAUCGUGCCACCGCUUGCUGUGGGCUCUGCAGGGCGGUCGCUGCCAGCCUGUGCAUGGGCAGCUGCGGCCUGGCAGCCCGACACAGGCACAUGUGCUCCUCUGCUGCUCCCGGCCAGAGCUAUCUCCUCUCAUUUGGCUGCUUCACUGCGUGUCAGGCGUGCUGAAGGUCCAGAAAAUACCGGGGUAAUCCAGGUUCACCUGCUGGCUUCCCACCUCAGGUGGCGUCGCUCUUGGUCAGACGUCGCUGCUGUGGCUUCCAUCAGCGUUCAUUCUCUGUGGUCACUGCACAUUGCUGCCACUCGGCUGCCUGGAGCUAGCCCGUGGGGUCGUGCCGCCUGGCAGGGCCUCCAAAUGGAUAGCGAAGAGCUGAGGGCGCUCUUCAGGCUGGUGCUUGUAAGCAGGAGGUAACUACAAAAAAUGAAGCCCUGAAUGCAGUUUUUCCAGGGCAAAGCAACCUCGGUGUUGGUGCUGGCUUCUUCCAAAAGCACCAGGUGUGUCGCUGCAGCCUUUCCAACUCGUCUGUCAGUCCUUGAGCUGGACCAUAUCUUCCCCUUCUGCAAGGCAGCUUUUGACUGCAGACGGCCUGAUCUUAUUGUAAGGAUUUGUGCGAGGAGUCCUGUGGCUUAAAUAGGGCCACAAAAUGACUGGCUGCAUUUAUCCACUCUAUUUCAGGAUCUGAUUUAUGCUGUUAAAGGGCAUUACAUGGACAUCCACCUGUCCCAGUGAGAGAAACCUGUCAGAGCCCAGGUUUCUCUCGGGAUCUGGGCUGACCUUUCCACACCCUGCAGAUACAGCUUUAAAGACUCCAUCGGGAAAAACUCAGACGAUGGCUCCAAGCAGAGGUCUGCAGUGAAAAUCGAAUAAUUAAUAUCUGAUGUGAACCCAGACACUGUAAACAUGAGCUUGAGAGAACAGCCCAUGAAGAGACUAUUGACCCUUUCUUCGAGGAGCCUGCUGGCCAGUGCACAGAAGAUGAGGGAAACAGCCUUGCUUUCUGAAUAGCAAGGUUAAAACGAUGCUAUACAUGUGUUUAUCAGUCAGGGCCAUCCAGCCCAGGUACUAAAUCAGGAGUGGUCCUUCAAAGUACCUCCACAUCUUCAGAGUCACUCGGGAGAUUCCCACGGAUGGAGAGGGGACUGCACCUGAAGCCUGGUUUCUUGUUCUGAGCUGCUCAAGGUCUCCCUGCUGGCAGAGAAGGAGCCACGUGACCCUUCCUGGAGCAGCUGCCAUACAACCGAAAUACAUACACCAGGCCAGCGCGCUCACAGAAAAUAUGUAAGUAGGUUACACGGGGGCGGGGGUUACACGGGGGUGGGGGAGACCAUUAAACACAGCAGGACCCACUUAACUGAGUACCUGUUAGAGGAGCAGAAAGUGGUGGAGGAUGAAUGAUGGGGCGGCUCUCCUCCCUCCAGCAAGCCCCAGUGAGACUCAAGGCUUGCUCGCUGAGGGAGAAGGAUUGAACCACAAAGCUUUGUGACCCUGAGCCACUACACCCACAGCAGUCUGCUCAGGCCCAUGUCCUGGUGGCCUGUGAAGAUCUCCAAGGAGGAAGACCCCACAACCUCUCUGGGCAGCCAGUGCCAGUGCUCAGUUACCUGCAGGUUGCCCAGGACCGUUUAGAAAGAAUUCAGACACACCCAAAGAGUCCCACAGUGUUAGAUCCAGCCAGGAAAUUGAUUUUCUUUCUUCAAAAUGAUUCUGUGGAAAAACGUGAAGUGCAACCAGGAGUUCAAAGUCUUGUGGGAUAAAAGGCUAAAAGUCUGUUUG